rnacentral:rRNA from 1 species
CCUACGGGUGGCAGCAGUGGGGGAUAUUGCACAAUGGGGGGAACCCUGAUGCAGCGACGCCGCGUGGGUGAAGAAGCGCCUCGGCGCGUAAGGCCCUGUCAGCAGGGAAGAAAAUGACGGUACCUGAAGAAGAAGCCCCGGCUAACUACGUGCCAGCAGCCGCGGUAAUACGUAGGGGGCAAGCGUUAUCCGGAUUUACUGGGGGUAAAGGGGGCGCAGUCGGCGGUGGAAGCCAGGAGUGAAAGCACGGGGCCCAACCCCGGGACUGCACUUGAAACUGGGUGGCUGGAGUGCAGGAGAGGCAGGCGGAAUUCGUGGUGUAGCGGUGAAAUGCGUAGAUAUCAGGAGGAACACCGGUGGCGAAGGCGGCCUGCUGGACUGCAACUGACGUUGAGGCCCGAAAGCGUGGGGAGCAAACAGGAUUAGAUACCCUUGUAGUC